rnacentral:rRNA from 1 species
UGCCUACGGGUGGCUGCAGUAGGGAAUAUUGCUCAAUGGGCGAAAGCCUGAAGCAGCAACGCCGCGUGCGCGAUGAAGGUCUUCGGAUCGUAAAGCGCUUUUCUGCGAGAUGAGAAAGGACAGUAUCGCAGGAAUAAGUCUCGGCUAACUACGUGCCAGCAGCCGCGGUAACACGUAGGAGGCGAGCGUUAUCCGGAUUCACUGGGCGUAAAGCGCGUGCAGGCGGUUUGGUAAGUUGGGCGUGAAAGCUCCCGGCUCAACUGGGAGAGGUCGUUCAAUACUACCAGACUAGAGAGCAGAAGAGGAAGAUGGAAUUCCCGGUGUAGUGGUGAAAUGCGUAGAUAUCGGGAGGAACACCAGUGGCGAAGGCGAUCUUCUGGUCUGUUUCUGACGCUCAGACGCGACAGCUAGGGUAGUAAACGGGAUUAGAUACCCCAGUAGUCCUA